rnacentral:rRNA from 1 species
AACGCUAGCUACAGGCUUAACACAUGCAAAUCGAGGGGCAGCAUGGUCUUAGCUUGCUAAGGCCGAUGGCGACCGGCGCACGGGUGAGUAACACGUAUCCAACCUGCCGCUUACUCGGGGAUAGCCUUUCGAAAGAAAGAUUAAUACCCGAUGGUAUAAAGAGUUCGCAUGUUCUCUUUAUUAAAGAAUUUCGGUAAGCGAUGGGGAUGCGUUCCAUUAGAUAGUUGGCGGGGUAACGGCCCACCAAGUCUACGAUGGAUAGGGGUUCUGAGAGGAAGGUCCCCCACAUUGGAACUGAGACACGGUCCAAACUCCUACGGGAGGCAGCAGUGAGGAAUAUUGGUCAAUGGGCGAGAGCCUGAACCAGCCAAGUAGCGUGCAGGAUGACGGCCCUAUGGGUUGUAAACUGCUUUUAUAAGGGAAUAAAGUGAGUCUCGUGAGACUUUUUGCAUGUACCUUAUGAAUAAGGACCGGCUAAUUCCGUGCCAGCAGCCGCGGUAAUACGGAAGGUCCGGGCGUUAUCCGGAUUUAUUGGGUUUAAAGGGAGCGUAGGUUGACGUAUAAGUCAGCUGUGAAAGUUUACGGCUCAACCGUGAAAUUGCAGUUGAUACUGUAUGUCUUGAGUGUACAAGAGGUGGGCGGAAUUCGUGGUGUAGCGGUGAAAUGCUUAGAUAUCACGAAGAACUCCGAUUG